rnacentral:rRNA from 1 species
GAUUAACGCUGGCGGCGUGCAUAACACAUGCAAGUCGAACGAUGAAACUCAUUAGAUUUCUUCGGAAUGAAAAUGAAUGGAUUCGUGGCGAACGGGUGAGUAACGCGUGAGUAACCUGCCUUACACAAGGGGAUAGCCUCUGGAAACGGAGAAUAAUACCCUAUGAAACCAGACAAUCGCAUGAUAAUCUGGUCAAAAUGUUUAGUGGUGUAAGAUGGACUUGCGUCUGAUUAGCUAGUUGGUGAGAUAAAAGCUCACCAAGGCAACGAUCAGUAGCCGGCUUGGAGGGGUGGACGGCAAUAUUGGGACAGAGACCAGGCCCAGACUCCGGCGGAAGGCGGGAGGGGGGAUUUUUGAACAGGGGGGGAACCCCUAAGGCACCGGCGCCGGGUAAUUAAGAAGCCUUGGGGUUUAAAAAAAUUUUUUGUAAAGAAAAAAAAUGACAGUACUAUACAAAAAAGGCCCGGCUAAUUACGUG